rnacentral:rRNA from 1 species
UCUACCUUCGGGUGGGGAAGUAACCCAGGGAAAACUUGGGCUAACACCGCAUAAUGCAGCGGCACCACAUGGUGACAGUUGUUAAAGCGGGGGAUUUUCGGACCUCGCGCCUGAAGAGGAGCCUGCGGCGGAUUAGCUAGUUGGUAAGGUAACGGCUUACCAAGGUGACGAUCCGUAGCCGGCCUGAGAGGGCGGUCGGCCACACUGACACUGACAUACGGGUCAG